GGUCGACAGGAAAAAGUGGCCAACACUGACACAUCGUGCUACUCCUAUAAGAGAAGAAGGAAGCUUUGCUGGCCUUUCGAUUCUCUCCCAGUUGCGCCUGUGAACGCGCGAUCAGUUUGGCCACCCCGGCCGGCGAUCAUGUGGAGGCUCAAGGUCGCCGAGGGGGCUGGGCCAUGGCUAAAGUCGUCCAACAACUUUCGUGGGCGGGCGGUUUGGGAGUUCGAUCCCGAGCUUGGCACCCCGGAGGAGCGUGCCGAGGUGGAGAGGGCGCGCCGUGAGUUCACCGAGCGCCGGUUCCAGAAAAGGGAGUCCUCUGACCUCCUCCUACGGUUGCAGUAUGCAAAACAUAAACAUCUUCAGGUGGAUCCUCCACCCGCCAAGCUCGCAGAAAAUGAAGAAGUCACAGAGGACAUCAUAUUAGCGGCAUUGAGGCGAGCACUCGCUCAACAUUCAAGUCUGCAAGCGGAUGAUGGGUGCUGGCCAGCAGACUAUAGUGGUCUUUUGUUCAUUAUGCCUCUCCUGGUAUUCGCUUUAUAUACCACUGGAUCACUCAAUACUGUCCUAUCUAAAGAACACCAACGCGAGAUACGUCGCUAUAUUUACAAUCAUCAGAAUGAAGAUGGUGGUUGGGGUAAACAAGUGUUGGGGCCGAGCACCAUGUUUGGCUCAUGCUUGAACUAUGUUGCAUUAAGACUUAUUGGUGAAGAUUGCACGAAUGUUGCAUUGACCAAUGGACGUGAGUGGAUUUUGUCUCAUGGAAGUGCAACUGCAAUUCCACAAUGGGGAAAGAUAUGGUUCUCGGUGAUGGGUUUGUAUGAUUGGUCUGGAAACAAUCCAGUAAUUCCCGAGUUAUGGCUUCUCCCAUACUUUCUGCCAAUUCAUCCAGGACGAUUUUGGAUACUUUGCCGUAUGGUGUAUCUGCCUAUGGCUUAUCUGUUUGGUAAAAAGUUUGUGGGAGAAGUUACACCAACUAUAUUGGAAUUAAGGAGUGAGCUCUAUUCUGUGCCAUACAGUGAGGUUGAUUGGAAAAAAGCUCGUGAUACAUGUGCCAAGGUGGACCUUAUAUAUCCAAGGACAAUGGCACAAAAUCUUGUAUGGACAUUCCUUAAUAAGGUUAUAGAGCCAAUGCUGAAUUGGUGGCCAGUAAAUAAGUUAAGGGAUAUAGCAUUGCAAAACAUCAUGGAACAUAUCCACUAUGAAGAUGAAACUAGCAAAUACAUAUGUAUAUGUCCGAUAAACAAGGCACUAGAUAUGAUUUGUUGUUGGGCAGAAAAUCCAAAUUCAGAUGCGUUCAAACAACAUCUUCCAAGGAUAUAUGAUAUGCUAUGGCUUGCUGAAGAUGGAAUGAAGGCACAGGUCUACGAUGGUUGUACAACAUGGGAGACUGCUUUCAUUGUUCAAGCCUUUUGCUCGACAGGUCUUGUUAAUGAGAUUAGUUCAACACUUCGUAAAGCUCAUGAAUUCAUUAAAUGUUCACAGAUAAGUGAAAACCAUUUGGACUACAAAUCUUACUACCGGCAUGCAUCAAAAGGUUCAUGGACACUUUCAACAGCAGAUAAUGGGUGUUCAAUAUCUGACUGUACUGCCGAGGCGUUGAAGGCAUUGCUAUUGUUAUCAAAGAUCUCUCCCGAUCUUGUGGGGGAACCCAUAAAAGGAGAAAGUCUGUAUGAUGCAGUUGAUUGCUUACUUUCUUUUGUGAACAAUGAUGGAAGCUUCUCUGCAUACGAGUGUAAGAGAACCACACCUUUGUUGGAGGUUCUCAACCCUUCUGAGAGCUUUCGGAAUAUUAUUGUUGAUUAUCCAUGUGUUGAAUGCACAUCAUCUGUGCUACAAGCUCUGAUUAUGUUUAGAGACCUGGAUCAUGUGUACCGCAAAGAAGAGAUAGGAAAUUGCAUUGAAAGGGCGUCCAGGUUUAUUGAGAAGGAACAACGAAAAGAUGGCUCCUGGUUUGGCAGCUGGGGUAUAUGUUUCACUUAUGGGACUUUCUUUGCGAUAAAAGGGCUAGCUCUUUCAGGAAGAACUUAUGAAAAUAGUGAUGCCAUCAGGAAAGCUUGUAGCUUUUUGUUGUCAAAGCAGCUACAUACAGGUGGAUGGGGAGAAACUUAUCUUUCUAGUGAAACUGCGGAAUAUGUGGAGGCUAGUAGACCUCAUGCAGUGAACACUGCUUGGGCAAUGUUAACCUUAGUUUAUGGUGGGCAGAGUUUGUACACUUCAAUCGUGAGCCAUGAUUUACCUUUUUGUCUGAGGCAGCUAAUCUCUUAACCUCCUUCUUGGUCGGGUCGGUAGGGUUCACAAUUAAGCCUUUCAAAUGUUUCCCUAACAGGUAACCCCUAACAGGCUACAGAAGGUCCUAGAGCUAAAGGCAGAGCCAUGUGGAACUCUUGGUUGUACUGUAUGUUCCAAUUUUUGCUAACAGAUAAGUCCUUAGGGAGGGCCAAGAACAUCAGUUUGAAAACAGGAGCUCUCUUGCCCUAUUAUGCAGUUGCUAAAAAUCAAGUUUUAACAUUUGUUAUUUAUCAUCAUUAGUCAUUGUUUAUAUCAGGUAUAGUUAUGUUGAGCAUUAGAAAACUACCCCUAUGCAAGUAUAACCUAUGAGUAACAAGGUACAAGAUAAUCAAGAACUAGGAUGUCCUUGUAUCAAAUUGACACAUGCAUAUGACUAAUUAAUUAAUUGUGAAUAGGUCAUCAAGGAAAUCCUAUGUUAUACUUGCCUUGAUUAAAGUUCUCUUGCUGGCUGUGCUGGUCGUCAAAGCAUUGGGCUUGGUCGUCGUCGUAAUGCUCACCAUCUAUUGUUGAUCAUGACAACAACAUUCAAGCAUCCAGAGACAAUCAUGCAUAGCAACAACUACUAUAAUUAGAACAUUAUAUCAUUAGAGAUAAAACAUGCUUAAAAAGCUAAUAAAAAUUAUCCUAAGUCACUAUGAUCACAUAGACGUGAAAAUCACCAAAAUCAGAUUUAAAUGAGGAAGAUAUGAUGAAAAUGGGCUUUGGAUGGCAGUUUUGUAAAUAAUGUGAACUUAAAUGAAUUAAAAUAAAUCAAAAUCGGGUUUUAAAACUUGUCAACAAUGGUGGGCACAAUGAUGAAGCAACAUAGGGGCUCAUUAGUAAUUUUGCCACGGCGAAGUGGUAUGGCCAACUCUGGGCUGUUGGAUUGGAUUUGGAUGGCCAAGAGGAGAGGGGGGCUACCGCCGGAAUAGGAGAUGGUGCGACAGAGCUGCAUCGUCGAUGGCGAAUCCUCGUCGGUGAACACGGGUUAAGGCCCCAUGGGCCAUGGAGAAGCAAACCAACAACACAGGGAGUGUGGGGAUGUUCCGCCUAGGAGUUCUACAUUGCUGCGGCGAAAACCCACACAAUGGUCGGCCAUGGCCGUUGGUGAGACCUUGCCGGCGCACACGAAUUCAGCCCUAGAGGCCACGGUUCAGCACAAGAACGGAAUAGGAAGAAAGAGGAUGGACCGGGGAUCACGCUACGGGUGAAAAAUGAAGGUGGAGACGAGUCAAAGAUGACAAAUGGCUCGUUGAGGCGGACGGAUGCUCCCUGCGAUCGUAUGGUGUCAGCAUGCGAGCCACAGCGAAUGAAAA